AUUUAGGGGCGGCUGUCCGAAAGCGUCUCUCACACCUCAACGUGCAGUAGCGCCCUCUCGUGAUUCACUCAUUAUAAUUGCCCAAUCAUUCCAUGUCGAAUCACGCUGUUGCUGAAAUUCCCCGAAAUUCUUUCUGAACGUACACCUAAUCGCCCUGUACCUUAAUUAUCCAGUUGCCAGGUUAAUUAUAAAUACCCCUGUGCGUGGAUGACAUAAAACCCCAAGGUAAAUAAACAAACAAUCAGCCCAUCAUCAGUUUGGCCGUUGACUCCUUUUCAAUUGUUGUAAACAAAGAAGAAACUGAAAGGUAUCGCUGGUCCCCGCGUGGUCACAGCAUGCAACAGAGCGAUGGUUGCCAGGGGUGACACCCAGUAGACCAUAAGGUGCUCGCCUACGGG